UAGACUAUCCAACUUUGUUGAUUCUAUUUCUUUCUACACUACUGGAAACGCCAUCGGAAAAGCCGGUUCAAGCCCUUUCUCACUCUCUCUCUCAUCGUUUCUUCCAAACAAGCAUUGAUGUCUCUCUUGGUCAACACUCCUCAAUAGCCUGUCCAUCCAACAUUGUUCACUCGAUAAGCUGAAUUGGAGUAAAUCCUAGGAAUGUUCUCUCUGGUUUACUCCUCAAGCUAUUGAUCACUUUGCUGCAUUACACUGUUCUUAGGCAUGUCUCUAUCUUCCCUUUGUCUCUUUCUCUCCUUAAACCCAUGUCUUCCUAACUUGCGCUAUGGAAGAUUAGUGGCUUUCAAUUGCAAGAAUAUCCUCAUGGUCCUGUCUUCAUCUCUCUCUACAACUGUUCACUAUUGCAUGCCUAUAAGGACUGUUGAAUCUGUUUUAGGGUUUAUUAGGUCGAGCUCCAGUCAGGGGUGGUUUUCCUCUUUGCUUCAGUUAGGGUUUGGGUUUUCUUCAGUUCGGUUCUCUCUCAAUCAAGGUUGAGUUUCAGGAAGUUUUCACUACUCUUGAAAUAGCCUUUGUAAUGCUUUACAUACAAAUAUAAUGCUUUGCAAUAUCGGCUAUGAUGUGAAGAGUCGUAGACUUAUUCCAGUUGACAACAACAGUUGCUCAAAAGCAAGUGAAGGCUCAGCUAAGGGUUUCAAUUACCUUUUGAUGGAACUUCAUGUUGUAGAAUGCAUACCAUUCAAGAUGAAUACUCUCCAUUGAGGGGACUUAUACCACGACAAGGGACUUGCCUUGACUAACAGUGAGAGAUUUUCACUAUUUGUGAGUUUAGGGUUAGGAGGAUUUCCUACCCCUAUUUUGUUUUCAAUUCAAACUUUCAAGGAAAACAUGAUACAAGUAAAUAAAAGUAUGGAACAGACAAACUUUUAGAUUGGUGAUUAAAAGUAGAAAGCCAGGUGUAUUCUAUCCUAUUUAGCAUAUAUCUGUUUUUUAUUGAAAUAAUUCCUGAAAAAAACAUUGUUUUAUUUGUUUAUAUGAUACAUGUGCCUUUGUAUAUUUACAUCUCAAAUAAGAUAGGGCUCAAGAAUUGAACUUUGAUACAUGAAUGCUGGUUUUGUAAUUUGUACUAUUGUAUUUGUGGUCUCCAUGACAUGUUUGGGAGUCUAAAGAUACCGUUUUAUAUUCAAUUUCUUUUAUUGAUUUAAAUUUUGAAUCUCAUAAAUGUAUUUCAAGACUUAUAACUGACAAGUAAGACACAGUGAGCUAAUCAUCUCAAGUUAAACCAUUGUUGCCAAGGAGAGAAGAGGGCAUUGUAAGGGAGAGUUUAGAGGUUUUUCUAUUAAACCAGUUAGGAUGUAGCACAAUUGUAAAUUAGCAUACUCAUUGAGCAUUUGAGCACAAAUUAUCAAAAAAAAAACUCAUUGAGUAUUUGAGCACGUCUUGGGUAAAGCAAUAGUGAUAAGAGUUGUGUUUUCUUAACAUAAUUUUCAUAAUAUUUUAUAAUGAUUAAGUGUUCAAUUCAAAUAUGAGAAUGAGAUUCUACUCAAUUUUCUAUAAUCUAAAUUGCAAAAGAAAACAAUGAACUCUACUAAGUUUUUUUCCCAAAUUAGAAUAAUAGUCUUGACUCUUGAUACCCACCUUUGGGAUUCAAGGGUGAACAAUUUUGAUGGAAGAAAAAGGCAAGCUUCAACUGUUAGUUAAUAAAGGUACAUACUCAUAUAAGAUCCUCUAGCAACAUUAGACUCCUCAAGGCAUUCAUUAUUCAUUUAUUUAUAUUUUUUGUAAGGACCAAUGGCAUUUAUUAUGUUAUGUGGUGUUUCCCCAUAAAUUUUUUACUAUAUUCCAUUAUUUCUUGUAUCUCUUGAUUAGUUGAUCUCCUUGGGUUAUGAAACUUUAUUUGUACUUUUCUUUCUAUAGCUUUCAUUUUAGCAUAAAGUGAUUGCGUAGGAAAAUCUUACACUUUAUUAUCAGCCCUAAUCUUCUUUGCAUAGGUUUUUGCUAAGAAAAUUGGUAGGGAUACCAACCUAUUAAUUUCUACCCAGUGAAAUGGUUAACUUGGUUGUUUAACAAGUACAAAUGUACAAUUAUAGAUGACAUAUGUGAGGUUUAUGUACAUAUAAAUUGGAUAGGGUUCAUUAUUACAAAUACCAGCCUUAUACGUCAUGGAUUUCUAUAAUGAAUGCAUUUUCUUUCCUCAAACCUAUCAAAAUUUUGAAUUAUUCAAAUAUAUAGAUGCUUAUUGUUGUAAUUUGGAUAGUUACUAACAAUGACUUGAUUGUUUAGAAGGAAUAGCCUAGAUAGUUAUAGACACCAGGGUCUGAAAACAUCUUGCUCUUGUGGAGGAUGAAUAUGUGCUAUUCACAUAGGGAAUGUAUAUAGGAGAGAUUAGAAUUUGUAUUUGGUGUAAAUUUGUACUUUAUAUAUGGAUGUAUUUUCUUACAAUGUUAAUUAGAUGUACAAUUAUAGACAUCCAAACAGUGUUAGCUAUCUAUAUGAUGGGUUUUCAAGGGUAAUCACAUCUAACAUUUCAA